rnacentral:rRNA from 1 species
ACUCCGGUGGUUAUGGAUGGGCAUGCGUUGUAUUAGCUGGUUGGUGAGGUAACGGCUCACCAAGGCGACGAUACAUAGGGGGACUGAGAGGUUAACCCCCCACAUUGGUACUGAGACACGGACCAAACUCCUACGGGAGGCAGCAGUGAGGAAUAUUGGUCAAUGGACGCAAGUCUGAACCAGCCAUGCCGCGUGCAGGAAGACGGCUCUAUGAGUUGUAAACUGCUUUUGUACGAGGGUAAACGCUCUUACGUGUAAGAGCCUGAAAGUAUCGUACGAAUAAGGAUCGGCUAACUCCGUGCCAGCAGCCGCGGUAAUACGGAGGAUCCAAGCGUUAUCCGGAUUUAUUGGGUUUAAAGGGUGCGUAGGCGGUUUGAUAAGUUAGAGGUGAAAUACCGGUGCUUAACACCGGAACUGCCUCUAAUACUGUUGAACUAGAGAGUAGUUGCGGUAGGCGGAAUGUAUGGUGUAGCGGUGAAAUGCUUAGAGAUCAUACAGAACACCGAUUGCGAAGGCAGCUUACCAAACUAUAUCUGACGUUGAGGCACGAAAGCGUGGGGAGCAAACAGGAUUAGAUACCCUGGUAGUCCACGCAGUAAACGAUGAUAACUCGCUGUCGGCGAUACACAGUCGGCGGCUAAGCGAAAGCGAUAAGUUAUCCACCUGGGGAGUACGUUCGCAAGAAUGAAACUCAAAGGAAUUGACGGGGGCCCGCACAAGCGGAGGAACAUGUGGUUUAAUUCGAUGAUACGCGAGGAACCUUACCCGGGCUUGAAAGUUACUGACGAUUCUGGAAACAGGAUUUCCCUUCGGGGCAGGAAACUAGGUGCUGCAUGGUUGUCGUCAGCUCGUGCCGUGAGGUGUCGGGUUAAGUCCCAUAACGAGCGCAACCCCUACCGUUAGUUGCCAUCAGGUCAAGCUGGGCACUCUGGCGGGACUGCCGGUGUAAGCCGAGAGGAAGGUGGGGAUGACGUCAAAUCAGCACGGCCCUUACGUCCGGGGCUACACACGUGUUACAAUGGUAGGUACAGAGGGCAGCUACCCAGUGAUGGGAUGCGAAUCUCGAAAGCCUAUCUCAGUUCGGAU